AGAAUGAUAAGAGGGAUAAGAGAAAGUAGGCAUUUUGGGUUAUCUAUACAUGUUUAAAUAGAAGGGUGGUAAAUAGGAAUGUAAUUGUUUUGGUUAAUGUUUAGAUUAAAUUGGUUAAAUACAACAGUGAUGACGAGUGUUUAGAUUAAAUUGGUAGAUACAGCAGUGAUAUUGUGUUUAUCUGUGAAUCAGGAGUGUGCUGGAUGUGAAGAGAGGUGUGUAGGUAUUUAUCCAAACGCCAUAGGAAAAAAUAUGGUUAAGACACCACAGUCAAAUGGUACUUGUGAUGAUUGGCACAGUUAUUUUGUGUUCGUCAUUGCCUGUGUUUUCAUUCAAGAACUUUCAAG